GCUUACGGCCAUACCACCCUGUCUGCGCCUGAGCUCGUCUGAUCUCAGAAGCUAAGCAGGGUCGGGCCUGGUUAGUACUUGGGUGGGAGACAGCAUGGGAAUACCAGGUGCUGUAAGAU
rnacentral:rRNA from 1 species